GACGAACGCUGGCGGCGUGCUUAACACAUGCAAGUCGAGCGGUAAGGCCCUUUCGGGGGUACACGAGCGGCGAACGGGUGAGUAACACGUGGGUGACCUGCCUCUAGCUCUGGGAUAAGCCUGGGAAGCUGGGUCUAAUACCGGAUAUGACCUCGCGGUGCAUGUUGCGGGGUGGAAAGCCUUGUGCGGCUAGGGAUGGGCCCGCGGCCUAUCAGCUUGUUGGUGGGGUGAUGGCCUACCAAGGCGACGACGGGUAGCCGGCCUGAGAGGGCGACCGGCCACACUGGGACUGAGACACGGCCCAGACUCCUACGGGAGGCAGCAGUGGGGAAUCUUGCGCAAUGGGCGAAAGCCUGACGCAGCGACGCCGCGUGAGGGAUGACGGCCUCGGU
rnacentral:rRNA from 1 species